UGGUUCCCAGUCUCUCGCCCAUCCUUGCAAAAUAACCCAGGACUCGAAGAGUUCGCCAGCGCCUUCCCGGAUUAGGAAGCCCUGCUACUCCCAGUUCCUUCUUGGAGAACUCAGAAGCCCACCAGUCUCACUGCAAUGGAAACUUAGGAAACACUGCAGAGCUCCACUCUCAGAGAGAACCCAGGAGUCCCGAGGGCCAGCUUUAAUUACAGGAGGCUGGAGGAGAUUCCUUCCCAUCCACGAACCCUCCGUCCGGUAGCCAGCCAACGCAGCCUCCCUCCGUGUGUUCAUCCACAGGCUCACUCUCCCUCCCGGCUUCAUUCCCCUGGAGGCUCCACCCGUCUUUGGGGUGGCGCUUCAAAAAUCCAGUCCUGCCAGAAAAACCCAAGCAAGAGACUUCCCCCCGCCUCCCUUCCCACAUCUAAGGCUGGGCUGGUCUCUCUUCCUUUCCUUUCCGUCUCCUUUGCUCGGAGAGGAUCCAAAGAUCCGACGGAAAGUCCCGUUUGCUGCAGCGCGUAUGGGUUUUAUUUGACUUUAAAAGGGGGGGAAAAAGAAAAGACGCCGGGGAUAUUGCAAUUACAUAAAAGAAGUCAGCGCCUUUAAAAUCAAAUUGACUAUUCCUUUUGCAACAUAAAACUGAGAUCGGAGGGAAGGAGAAAGAAGAAAUCCGCAGGGUGGGGGAAAGUUGCUCCGAAGCCAUCCUCAGUUCCUCUGUUCGCUCCUGAUUUUGGGUUCAUGCCUUCCAAAAGAGAUCAUUAGAGGAGAAAAAAUGGAGGAGGCUAUUCUGGAGUGAAAGAUCCUAUCUUUGACGGGGGAUGAUAUGAUGUCAGAUCUUGGAACCCUUGGAAGAAUAAGAAGCUGAGAUUUUGCUUGGGGGAGGCACAGAUACAUGCAGGGAAGAAAUGGCGAGUGAAACUCCAUGCCUGUUUUGGGAACUGGACUUGCAGCUCUUAAAAUCACCAAUUUGUUAAGGAAAAGCCGUGCAACGUGGCAGGCAGUUGAACUUACUUACUGUACAUAUAAGUAACCAAAUACCCACCAUAUGUAUUUCCCUGGACAGAGAAAACUGAUUCCCCGCAGCCAGGGCCUAUAGCAGUCCCAAGCCUGGAUGAGUCCCGACCUAUGGAACAGCUGCAGUCUUGGUCUCCUUGGGAACUGAGCCAGCAACCUCAGGAUCAACCACAAAUCAAGCUAACGCCAGCAAAACUCAAACAUAACAAGCUAGGGCUUUUUUCUUUCUUUCCCCAAAGGGAAGUUGGUCUCAGAAAACUUUAGACCUCAAGGUAUUUUUAUUGGGUAAUGAGACUGAAUUGUUGAUCUGGUCUAUAAGUACCCGCUUCUGCUUUUUAUUUUUUUCCUUUGGCUGGAGGUCUUCACUGGAGAGAGUCAGAAUUCCCUACUCUCUGCACCAUGUUCUUAAGCAGAGCCAAGUCAUGGCUCCCUGGACUGCCUUGGCAGCAAGGAAAGGCAAAGGACUUGAAAGUGCAGGUGGAAGUAUCAAAGGGAGAGCUUGAGGAACCGGAGAAAUGCCAGACACCUCCCAAAGCGAGAUGGUGGAGUGGCCGCCGGCUCUUGGAAGCCAUUGGAUGGGGCCAAAGUUUCUCUGCAAGAGAGCACUCCUUAUUGGCUGGGAUCCCUCAACAUCUUGCCCCCCACAAGCCAUCCAUGGAAUCAUCUGAACACUUCCAGAUCUGCUUCAAUUUCACUCGCCACCUCUUUGACUUGUGUGUGGUGACUUUGCUCUGUGCAUCCUCCCCUGCUUUUCGGCUAGCUUUGGAUAUCCUAGGAUUUGGAGGUCCCCUUAAGGUCUGGCUGCAUGGCUUUGCCUGUUUCCUGGUCACCGCCUAUGGGAUGUACUUGGCCCUCUGGUUGGUGCAGGAGUAUCUUGUGCAGUUUGCUUGCCUCUAUGGCUUCCUACAGACCCUAGUCUUGUGCGUCAGCAUCCAGGCUGGAAUGACGGAGCCUCAAGAGGAUGAGCAGGGCCCUGACCCUGAUGCAGCCAAGGAGGAAGACUCGCCAGCAGCUGACCUGUGUGAACAACAGUCGCCACUGUGAAGAGGAAUACUGUGUUGGUCCACCUCCUCCAACUAUUUGGGAAGAAGGGGGUGGGGGUGGGGUGGAAGCCAAAAAGAUCAAACAAGCUGAUCCUCACUGGGGGCAGGAAGAUGGAGUUUUUGUCAUGUAUUUUGGGCAGCUGGGCAGACCAAAGAGAGAGAGGGGUGGUUUUGCUGUGGUUGUAUCUUGGAAAAAAUGAGUGAGUGGUAAUGGUUCAGGGAGUCUUUCCUGGUUCCAAGUCCAAUUUGUGAAUGGCUAUGAGAGAAGGAGCAAUUGGGUGUGGGGAGGAAAAUCCACCCUUAACUAUGACAGUCUUGGGCUCUGGGGAGCAGAAGUUCGGGUGGGUAAGUGUGGGGAGUAAGAGGACUGAGUCCAUCCACACUACAAACUUAAAUCGGUACAAACUUAAUCAUAACUGGUUUCCUUGUUAUCGCUGCUCCCUCAGGACCCUGGGAGCCGUAGUUUUGUGUGUUGAAUGGGAAGGCAUGCUUAGAAUUUUGUUAGGGGUUCUUAGCUCCUCCUUGGGUUUCUGGAUGGAUCACAGUUUGAAAGUGGUUUACAUUUGUAGUGUGGACAUGCCCAUAUAGGGCAUGUUUGGCGGUCAGUUUUGAAGGAAAGUGGAUGUGCAACCAGCACAUUCCCAGUCCCUGCAAUCCACACACGCAUAUGAAUUCACCCAACCCUGGGCCCUUCUAUACUUUAGAGGGGUGCCUGUAGGCCCAGUGUGAGCCUUUUAGUUGAUAGUCAUGCUUUAGGCCUACAGAAGAAGCACUGCUUCCUGCCAUUUCUGGGGUUGUAUGUGAGGGCAGGUUGCUGCCAUCUGGGCAUGGCCUUUGGGGUUGGAUGGAAUAAAAAUGGACCUGUUAGGAGUCUGAGGUAGCUAACAGAUCACGCUUCAGGUGGGCAAGAUGCAAUGUAUUAGGUGAGGGGGAUGAAUCCACUUCUGGCAUGGAAAGAUGGAGUGGAGGAAAUUUUCCCUAAAUGGGACCAAAGAGUGGAUUUAUUUUUAUCUGAGCCACAAAAAACUGUUGGAGGGUGAUUUGAGAACUGAGAUCGGAUCCAGUAGAUGGAAGCCAAUAUUGUCUUUUGCAGAAAAGCAGCAUAUAUGUGUUGCAGAAAUCUACUGUAUCCAAAUGAGGGGAUUUAGAGACAAUGGGAUAAAUUUGGGGUGGGGGUGAGAUCUGACUGACAUAAAAUCUAGUUAGGUCUGAAGUAAGGUUGGCUAGAAGGAUAGAAGAUUUCAGGGGAUCAUAAUCUGAGGGAGGUGAAUCCCAAAGGAAACAUGAAUCUAGCACAACUUUGAGGAACACUGACAUAACUACUGACCUUCACCACUCCCUUUUAGGGGUGGGCUGGCUUUCCACAACUGAAUAGUGGAUGGGGGUGUCUAGAAAGCCAAUUAUCUUCUGCAUAGACCUCAGGGAUGAGCAGUUCUGAGCCUAGAAUUUCUGCUAGAUCCCAUCUGCUCCUCUCUCACCAGCAUCUUCUAUAACAUUCUCCAGCUGGGACUGGCUCCUCAUCCAGUUUUACAGCUCCCCCUACUCCCACCCCCGCUGGCAGUAUAAAGAUUAACCCACUGGAUUGGGCACAUGGCUUGGUGUGGGAGGUGAGCUACCCUAAAUUUUUACUGUGUGCAGUUGACACAAGAGGUAAGCAUUUCCCUUCUCAGGCCAGUGGUGUGAACUAAGGGCAGAUCCAAUGAACAUUUUGCCACACAUCUGCACCUGAUGUAUGGUAAAAUCCAAGUUAUGCCAGGUUGAGAGUGCGCAGCUUAGCUGUCACUGCAAUGCAAAGAUGCUGUUUGCAAUCAUGGUCUGAAUUUUCAAGGCCUUUUUUGUUGUUGAGAAGGAGAAACUUUGGCCAUGUCCCGCCAUAGCUGGAACCAGAAACUUCCGGAGGAGAUAUAGGGCAGGUUCACAUGAUCCUCUGCAAGUAAGUAGAAGGGAACUUGAUGUUCCCAGGGAGCCGGUGCUCCUGACGUGAGCUGCAAGUCCAGCUCAUUUUGUGAUAUCUGAACCUGCCAUGUCAGAUGGAGAAUGUUGGGCUCCCACUACCACCUGACAUUCCCAAGCUAACUUCAAAUGUCAGUUUUGGAUGUCAAGCAGCGGGGGGAACCCAACUUUCUUCACCCAACACUUCCAGGUUCAGAUGUCAUGGAAAUGGCUGGAUGGAUCCACUCGUGUUGGGAGUGCUCCCUUCCUGAGAACUUCUGCCAUUACUUGCAGCAAGUUGUGUGAACUCGGCCCACAGUGUAAUUUAAAAAAACAAAAAACUGCUGUGUUUCUUUUCUCUUUGAGUUAGGGACCUCAUUCUGGGAAGUCUUGUGAAUUCCUGACUGAGAACGUCUUUUCUGUGCUGGUCAGCAUUUUUUGUACAUGAGCUCCUUUCUGAUCAUACAUUUGGGGUCCCCCCCCGAGCAAUUGUCACCCUUCUGGUGUGUAUGCACAUGCGCACACACCAUAAACCCCUUGCCUCUGGAGGAUAAAGUUUCAUAUACAAACAGUACCUUAUAAAGGAGUAUUCUAUUGUGUCUCUCAUAUAUAGAACAUAUGUUCAUUUGUCAUUUACCACUUCCCCAGUGUCCAUUUUUAAUCUGUUUUAUACUUCUAGGAUAUCUGCUUUGACUGUGCCCCCGUCUUAUCUCAACGUAGUUGUGUACAAAUAGGGUGAUAUCUUUCCUGCAAUAGCUUUCUUAGCUUAACUUUCCCCCCCUCAGAACAUUUCCUAGCCCUGUGUGACAAUGCCUGUGUUAUGCCCAUGUGAUUAAGGAUUUUCUAUCCAGAUAGAUCCAGAAUUUUCUGGGCCAGUUGCCUCAAGCAAGAAUCAAAACUUUAACCUCCCAGUUCUGAUUCAGACCAGUGUCUCUCCUUUUUUAUAAACUUCAUGGCAGCCACUGAACUCUGCUUUGUCAUCCCGGCGAGACAAUUUUGUUAUGGUCUGAUCUCAAACAUGCACCCUGGAAUAUAGGCUCUUUGAUUUCAGUGCAAUAUACUGGAAUAUACUUUGAUUUCAGUUGACCCAUAUAUAAAAAUAUAAAUGAUUAGAUAGGGUUGAGAAGCAAGGGGAAGUUUUCUUCUUGACCAGGAUUAGCUCCAAGGUCCUUGAAUUGCCAGGCAAGAGAGCUGAAGUGCCCACACUCAUUCCCUCCCACAUGUACUGAGGGAUGAGUCCAAUAAGCAGGCAUGAACUUCCCAAAGAUCUCUCUUGAUCUCAGCAUCUCUUUUUGCUGCUUUCUAGUGCUGGAGAGAGCAAGGUUAGAACUGUGCCACCUGACAUCUGACCGGCAGACCUCUCCCUCUGCUAGAACACAUCGCUAUUGUGUUUUCCUCUCUGGAUGUGGUACAGGAUUUUCUCCUGGUGUUCUAGAGAGGUGAGGAUACAUAAGAAAUAAUGCCAGCCAACCAAGAAAGGUACUGGGGUAGUUAUCCCUUUUUCAAUCUCAGGGCCCUGGCAGCUGAUUGGGGUCAAGCAGGUGUGUGAUGUCUCUGAUUUCAUGCCCUCAGAUGACUUGAAAGUCUCUUGUGAAGUGCAGCUGCAGUCUGAGGAAGUCUAGGCAUGCACCUGGAGCCACAUAAAUAAUAGAGAAGCAGCUGUCGAAUUCAUGCAUGAUAUCCUGGUCUUGUUCCUCAAUUCACGCUGUUUCUAAAUGGAUUGAGAUGAACUAUAGCACCAUUGGCUUUUGGGCCAGGCAUACGUUAGAACUGUAAUGCUCAUCAUACUUGUAACUCUAGAAUGGUGCUCACCACCAGACUAGAGCAAAACCACCAGCAUCCAUCUAUCCUUAGCACAAAAAUCUGUAGAAUUUCCCCCCUUAUGCUGAUUGGGUGCAACUUUGCCGAAAACCCUUUAGCUGCACUGUCUAGAACAAAGCCACAGUGAGGUCUUCAGCACCUGUGAUGUCAUUCCUCAAAGAGAGGACGAUUUAGAAAACGGUACUGGAGAAGGUCUAGAAAGCCUCCACACCUCAGAAGCAGACAGAACAGGGUUUCCAAGGGCUUAUGGAGAAGAUUCCUUUUUCAGAGCAAUGGACCUGACCUCUUCCCAGCCUCAGGGGCAAAAAUGAUCUGCAGCAAAGAAGAGGAUCAAUGCAGCUGUAACUCACAACAGGAACACAAAAGGAGAACAGUUGCUGGGACUAGUAUUCCUGUUUGUUGGUUCCCACCUUAUUUCAAAUGCAACCUUUUCCAAGGGACUAUUUGGCUUCCUUAUGGUCCAGCUCAGUGGGAAGCCUUGAGAAACUAAAAAAAAACCACACCCACUUUAUUUGCCCAUUUGAAAAGAGGGAGAGAAACCCGUUAACAGGGUUUUCAGACUUGAGCCUCCAAAUGUUGGACUAGAAUUCCCAUAAUCCCUUUGGCCAUUGUGGCCAAGGGUGAUGGAAGUUGUAGUCCAAUAAUAUGUGGAGACCCAAGUUUGAGGACUCUGGUGGUAAAAGAUUCUCAGCAUGGUGGGAUGUCGCAUAUAUCAGCAAGUCCUGAGGCAAUGUAAAUGCUUAAUUUGUAGGGAAGAAAAAGUGGGAGGUAUGCUUUCACCCUUCCCAGGCCUGCCGAUUCACACCUUCAAAUGCCUCCCCUGAAGAAAAUGGAAGCACUUCCAAUUUUAGGUGGGCAGAACAAUUAAAAGUUGUUUUGGAGGGCAUUUGUAUGGGGAAAUGAUGGGUAAGGGGAGUGUUUGUUGUGACUGACUUGUUCUGCUGGUUUAAAUCGAACUCCAUCACAACUACAUUAAACAGGACUGGUGACUCUUUAAAGGGCUACAUGAGUGCUCAAGUAGAAAAGCUAAUAAGCACUCACCCUAAAAUAUAUAUUUAGAAAAUGGUCCCCAAACUAUAGGCAUUGGAAGGUGUGGGUUGUAUCAUCAGUGAUUUUAAAAGCACUAGCCAAUAAGGGCCACUGGAGUUCACACAAAUGUAUUUUAGCAGGUCCUUACAGAAGUCUUAUUAAAAUCUUCUGGGGAAAUGAUGUGCCAAUAAUAAUGGUGUGGGUGGGUGGGUGGAACUGUGUGGUAUGCACAGGAGGAGGAGAACAUUUCCAUAUCUCUGAAAACGACUCAUCUGUAUAAGUUCUAAGAGUAAAAAUAUACCUCUUCCCUGCCCUGUUUUGUCUUGUACCACUUUAGGAGCCUAGAUGUUCUCUAGUGCCUUUUCUAGAGAGAAUGUUGCUGUAUGUGGUUUGGAUGAAUAGUGGGUGUAUUCCUUCUUCAGGGGGAACCAAAAUAUCUUGACAUAUUUGGGAAUGCAUGGGAUGUUAAUAGGGUGGGUGUGCGUGGGAGAAGUACAUAAACUAACCUGUGUAUCUAUAUCCUGGAUGCUGUUUAACAGCUAAACACUAUUGUUCUGGAUCUGUUUAUUUUUCCAAUUUGUGUUUAUAUAUCUAUAUAUUUAAAUUAAAAGGGAAACUUCAAAAAACA